rnacentral:lncRNA from 1 species
AGAAGCAGCCAAGGGUCAAGCCAACAUGCACAUCUAGAAAGCAUUGGGUGUGUACAUAUUAUAUAGGAGUAGUUACUCGUUAGAAGCAAAUAAGUUAGAUGGUGCAGAGUUCGAAGCUUCAGCAAUCAGAGAAAAUAAGAUAUAAAUAAGAAGGUUCCCUGGAUUCAAGGGUCAAGAUCCUCCAUGUGACUUACACCAUAAGAUAAGGAGAACCAUCACCAUACAGAAUAUUUCAAGUCCAAUCUUGACACAACAUUUCCAUAACAAAACAAAACCAAGUCUAUCAUCAAAUGGUUGAACAUCUCUCAAUUCUUCUCCAAGUCAUUUCGAGCCAACUAUAUUACACUCUCCCAUUCUAUUUUUGGUAACAUUAGUUGUAAUUUUGAGAGAAGAAGAACCUAGCUCCUAACUCAAGUUAGACUGAGUUUCUGAGACUAAUCGCUGGUUAAGUCAACAUCAGAGGUUAAUGUGCUAAGGUCGAGUCUUACUAAUUUUAAGAGUCAUAUCCAUGCAAUGGCAAUUGAAGGAGAAAGUACAAGGAAUCAAGACAUCACUAGAAGAAGACGAAGAAUCGAAGCAAUUCUUCGAGCUUGGACAUUUAUGUUGAUAUUAUCUCAGUUGUGUAUAUCAUCAACUGGUUAUUCUACUUCAAGAAAAGUUGGUUUCUUUCAUCCAGUUACUACUAAUUCGCAAGUAGCAGCAGCAUCAAGUAUAAGUUCAACUAGUUCAGUUUAUCAUUAUGUUAGAAAAGGGGAGAAAAGAAAUAGAGCUAACAAAUUGUAUGAUGAAGACAAGAGAUUAGUUCAUACAGGUCCAAAUCCUCUUCACAACUAAUUCACCACUACUACAUGAGAACCAAAAAAUGUGGGAGUUAUGCUACUAUUGAAUUUUUCUAAUGGUUCUUUCUUCUAACUAUUUCUUUUUCCUUUUUUUUUUUUUUUUGGUUCUCAUUGCUCUGUAUCGGAAUGGAAUUAAUAGUAGCAAAGCUUUUACUUGUGUAACAUUUUCUGUCAUUGUUCAAUGGAGAUGUGUUCACGGCGCGGCG